GGCGCUAUCGUCUAGUUAGGUUAGGACAUCUGGUUCUCAGCCAGGGGACUGGGGUUCGAAUCCCCAUAGCGCUA
rnacentral:tRNA from 1 species